rnacentral:lncRNA from 1 species
UCCCUACCAGCACACAACUUAUUAUCAAUGUUUGGAAGCUUCAACGUGAUCCACAUGUCUGGGAAGAGCCUUGUAAGUUUCAGCCAGAAAGAUUUUUGACAAGGCACAAGGAUAUUGAUGUCAGAGGACAAAAUUUUGAAUUGUUACCUUUUGGUAGUGGUAGAAGAACUUGUCCUGGAGUUUCAUUUGCCCUCCAAGUUAUGGAAUUUACACUUGCUUCUUUACUUCAUGGCUUUGAUUUUGCAACCCCAUCAAAUGAACCGCUGGACAUGGGAGAGGGACUCGGGUUGAGUAUCCAGAAAGCUAGACCACUUGAAGUACUCAUUGCUCCACGUCUUUCUGCUUCUUUGUACGGCUAGAUUGGUUCUCAAUGCAAUCAAUCCAAUAAACUUUUAUAACAAGUAUUCACGUAUUUGUUUGCUUGUAUACUCUUGCUUAUUAUGCCUUCUUUGUAUUCAUUAUUAGACAUGAAUAUCUAUUGUUAAAUAAAGUUUUAUCAUGGCUAAAUUGUCAGGUGAUGACUAUCGGGGCAUCCUAUGGUGUUCAAUCUGAUGUGUUUGUCUAAAAUCAAUAUAUUAGGUAAGCAAUCUUAUCGGGACUCAUUUUAAUUAACAAAGAGCCCAAAACUAGUUAUGUCAAUUAGAGUGCUAAAAAGGUGACGAUGAUGAUUUUGAUUUGAAUAUUGUUAUUUUUUUUGGAAAUGGAUUAUUUUGUUGAUGAUGAUGAAUCCAAUUAUGAUUAUUUUUAUUUUUAAAUGGAUUAUUAUUUUGUUCAUGAUUUAUUAUUAUUAUUAUUAUUAAUGAUAAAUUAUAAUUAAUUAAUAUAGUAGCAAUAAAUGAAUAUAAUUAAUUAAUAUAUUAACAAUAAUAAUAAUAAUUAUUAAUUAUUAAUAACAUCAUCAUCAUCAUCAUCAUUAUUAUUAGGAAGGACUUUUUAGUAACUUGAUACCAUCUAAUUCAUUUUGAUUUUGAUUCGAAAAUAAAGUAAACGCAUUAAUGGAAUCCAGCUCAUUCCGAUUCCAAUUCCUACAGUUUAAUUUACUUAUUCACAUUCCUAUUCUCCAUUCCGAUUCCCGUUUAGUAAACAUAGCAUAAGUUAAAUACAUUGGUUGUAUGGUGCACGUUGAGUAGUAUUCUUUGUUAGGAGGCAUGAGAUCUGAUCAAUCGUUUGGAUUUAAUUCAAUUUGUCAACUGAAUAUUAUUGACUCACAAAUUCUUCCUAACAAAUUGAUUUGAGAACUUUAUUGCUAAAUCAUGAAUUUCUGAAUAGUUUUUCAAGAAUAAAAAAUUGCUCGAAGAUCAGAAUGUGUAAAAGAAAUACAUAACGGGGAUUUAACUCCAUUUGUUCUACGUUAAACUUAGUUAGUUAGGAGCCAACGCGAUGUGUUCUGUUUAAAUAAGGAAAGCUAAGAGUAAAUUUGAUCUUGGCCAUACAUUUAAUUACAUGACAUGUGUCAAAAUCUUUUAUAAACUUUAGGAAAAUUUAGAUUAGAAGAGGAUUAAAUCCAAUGAGGAGAUAUAUAUGUGAUUAGGUGAAGCAAAUCUUUAAGAAAAAAGAUUUUCACCCCUUACAUUUUUGUCAAAUAUCAUAUUUUAUGUUUAGAAUUAAAUAUUCAGUAACUUCAAUUUCUUUAGCACUUUAGUUCUUUAUAUAUGGAUGGACAUGAACAAGUUGAUAUUGUAAAUCACCCGAGAAAUUUUAGCAGGUAGCAGCCAUGGACUUUCUUGUUUCACCUCAAACUAGUGCUAUAGCUGCAAUUUUAAUCACUCUCUUAAUCAUUCUAUACACGUCGUUGUUAGUUUCAAGAAAUUUGCUUAGCAAAUACACAAGCAAGAAGAAGAGGGAAGCACCGGAGGCUGGGGGAUCAUGGCCUGUGAUUGGCCAUCUACACCUCUUAGGAGGGCCAGAACCUCCUCACCGGGUAUUAGGCAAAAUGGCUGACGAGUAUGGACCAAUCUUCAAAAUCAAGAUGGGCAUAAAUCGAGCUUUGGUUGUGAGUAAUUGGGAGAUGGCUAAAGAGUGCCUUACUACACACGACAAAGUCUUUGCUAGCCGUCCAAAAACUCUAGCCAUGGAGAUUUUAGGCUACAACUUUUCCAUGUUUGGCUUCAGCCCAUACGGCUCCUACUGGCGUGAGACACGCAAGAUAGCCACACUUGAGCUUCUCUCGAACCAUCGUCUUGGGAAGCUCAGGCAUGUACGAGAGUAUGAGCUGAAGACAUCUUUGAAGGACUUAUACGAGUUAUGGGACAAGAACAAAAGCACUAAUAAGAUGUUGUUGGUAGAGAUGAAGAGAUGGUUCACUGACACAAUCCGUAAUGUCGUUUUAAGAAUGAUUGUCGGAAAGGGAUGCGACUCAGUGGAUGGUGAAGAAUGGAUAGAACUACUGACGAGAUUUUCUGAAAUGAGUGGUAAGUUUGUGGUGUCAGAUGCUCUGCCGUUUCUUAGAUGGUUGGAUAUAGGGGGUGAUGAGAGGUCAAUGAAGAAGAUCGCCAAAGAAUUAGACAUUGUUGUUCAAGGAUGGUUAGAAGAGCACAAGAGGAAGAGAGAUUCUCAGGAGAUUAAAGAAGAAGAAUUAGAUUUUAUGAGUGUGAUGCUCUCGAUCCUGGGUGAUACAAAGCAAUAUUCGGGUCGUGAUGUUGAUACAAUCAAUAAAGCUACUUGCCUGGUAUGCCUCUCUUAAACGAUUUUUUCUUUUUAGUUACAGUCUAAGUGCGACGUAAUCCAUUUCUGCGGAGUUCAAAAUCUUAUCCCCCUUUUUUGUGUUUUAUUAAUUGUUUUUUAUUUUUAUCAACGUACAUACACUAAUGAGGCUCGAAUUCAGGUCUUUAAGUCUUAGGAUAGUUGCUCCUCACCAGUGAAACUAGACCUAUUUCUUUUUACUCAAAAAGUUUUACUUGGCACUUAUGUCUUAACAGAAUAUUAUAUGCUUUUAAAACAUAUUACGCCUAUAAUCAUUCAUAAAGUUGUUACAUCACUCUUCAGGAUGAGACUUCCAGACAAGAGCAGUUAAUUUUGUAGCGUGUGAAUUGAGAGUAUUUAAUUAUGGGUCUUGUUAAGUUACAUAAUAUUUAACUCAUAGCAAAUGCAAAAGUAAUCACCCAUGACCUCUCACUUAUUUCACAUAUUACUAUUUUUUGCGUUGGGUAACUUGUUUUGGGUUGCUUUAUACAUUUAAUUAUAUUCUGCUUUCUCCUAAUCAGUUGAGAGGGCAAAAUAAUUAAUUAAAAAGUCGAUGAAAUCAUCUUCCACUUAUAUAUCAUCGCAUUUGUUAUUUGGGACCUAAAUUUUCAAACAAGUUUUUGAUAAUAUAUUUGUGGAUUUAGGAAAAGUCUUGGGUGAUUUAGGGAUAUUGCUCAUUUUUCAUUCAUUUCUUACUAUGUGUAUGCUUCAAAUUAUCAUGACAAUAUUGAUACACACAUAGAAAAUAAUGAAUGACUAAAGAACAAUGCUCGAAGGGCACUAAAGACCUUCUCGUGAAUUUGAUAUGAUGCAUUAAAUCUAAUUCAUCUUAAUAGUCAAAAGAUGAAAAUGAAAAUCUUUAAGAUGAAUUUAAUUAAGUUGGAUUGUGAAUGAGUGUAACAUAUGAAAGUUCCAAAAUAAUACUUUUAGCCCUACCAAUUUUGCAGGGUCUCGUCUUAGCAGCAACAGACAACACAAAGAUGACAUUGACAUGGGUUAUCUCUUUGCUUCUCAACCACCGUGAUAUUUUAAAUAAAGCUCAAAACGAACUAGAUAUUCUGGUGGGUACGAAAAGGCAAGUGAAUGAGUCAGAUAUAAAGAAUUUAGUUUACUUGCAAGCCAUUCUCAAAGAAGCAAUGCGUUUGUAUCCUGGUUCGCCACUCUUAAUUCCACACAAGUCUAUAGAAGAGUGCACGAUUAGUGGUUAUAAUGUCCCUACCAGCACACAACUUAUUAUCAAUGUUUGGAAGCUUCAACGUGAUCCACAUGUCUGGGAAGAGCCUUGUAAGUUUCAGCCAGAAAGAUUUUUGACAAGGCACAAGGAUAUUGAUGUCAGAGGACAAAAUUUUGAAUUGUUACCUUUUGGUAGUGGUAGAAGAAUUUGUCCUGGAGUUUCAUUUGCCCUCCAAGUUAUGGAAUUUACACUUGCUUCUUUACUUCAUGGCUUUGAUUUUGCAACCCCAUCAAAUGAACCGCUGGACAUGGGAGAGGGACU